ACGCUCGACACCUACGGGCGGCAGCAGUGGGGAAUAUUGCACAAUGGGGGAAACCCUGAUGCAGCGACGCCGCGUGGAGGAAGAAGGUCUUCGGAUUGUAAACUCCUGUUGUUGGGGAAAAAGAGGAUGGUACCCAACAAGGAAGUGACGGCUAACUACGUGCANNCGCGAGUAUNGNGGCGNGNGAGAG
rnacentral:rRNA from 1 species